UGCGCCCCGCGCCCCCCGCGCCCCCCGCCGCCCCGGCCCCGGCCCCGGCCCCCGCCCCGGCAGGCAUGAUGUGCCUGGAAUGCGCCUCGGCGGCGGCGGGCGGCGCGGAGGAGGAGGAGGCGGACGCUGAGCGGCGGCGCCGGCGCCGGGGGGCGCAGCGAGGGGCUGGAGGCGGCGGCUGCUGCGGGGCGCGGGCGGUGGGCGCUGCUGGCGCGGCGGUGGCCGACGACGAGGUGCAGACGCUGUCGGGCAGCGUGAGGCGGGCCCCGUCUGGACCCCCCGGCGCCCCCGGCUGCGCAGCCGCUGCCAAGGGCCCCGGCGCUCAACAGCCCAAACCCGCCAGCUCGGGCCGCGGGCGCGGGGCCGCCGCCGCCAUCCUCAGCUUGGGCAACGUGCUCAACUACCUGGACAGGUACACCGUGGCAGGCGUCCUUCUGGACAUCCAGCAGCACUUUGGGGUCAAGGAUCGAGGCGCUGGUUUGCUGCAGUCAGGCUUGACCUGGGCAUGGGUCAGUUGUCACCGUCUGCCGGGCGCCCCCUCCUUGCGCUACUUCUGUGCUUACAUCACACACGCAGCCACUGAGCGGCAUCCAGGAAGGUCGCGCGAGCCUCAAGUGUUCAUCUGCAGCUUUAUGGUGGCAGCCCCCAUCUUUGGCUACCUGGGUGACCGCUUCAACAGGAAGGUGAUCCUCAGCUGCGGCAUCUUCUUCUGGUCGGCUGUCACCUUCUCCAGCUCCUUCAUCCCCCAGCAGCACUUCUGGCUGCUGGUGCUGUCGCGGGGGCUGGUGGGCAUCGGCGAGGCCAGCUACUCCACCAUCGCGCCCACCAUCAUCGGCGACCUCUUCACCAAGAACACACGCACGCUCAUGCUUUCCGUGUUUUACUUUGCCAUCCCGCUGGGCAGCGGCCUGGGCUACAUCACAGGCUCCAGCGUCAAGCAGGCAGCCGGAGAUUGGCACUGGGCCCUGCGGGUGUCCCCCAUCGUGGGCAUGAUCACAGGAACGCUCAUCCUCAUCCUGGUCCCAGCCACGAGGAGGGGCCCUGCAGACCAGCUGGGGGGGCAGCUGAAGGUGCGCACCUCGUGGCUCCGUGACAUGAAGGCCCUGAUCCGCAACCGCAGCUACGUCUUCUCCUCCUUGGCCACGUCGGCCGUGUCCUUCGCCACAGGGGCCCUGGGCAUGUGGAUCCCCCUGUACCUGCACCGCGCGCAGGUCGUGCAGAAGUCGGCGGAGACCUGCAGCAGCCCGCCGUGCGGGGCCAGGGACAGCCUCAUCUUCGGAGCCAUCACCUGCUUUACUGGCUUCCUGGGCGUGGUCACGGGGGCAGGAGCCACACGCUGGUGCCGCCUGCGGACUCAGCGGGCUGACCCGCUGGUGUGCGCCGUGGGCAUGCUGGGCUCUGCCAUCUUCAUCUGCCUCAUUUUCGUGGCUGCCAAGAGUAGCAUCGUGGGCGCCUACAUCUGCAUCUUUGUUGGGGAGACGCUGCUGUUUUCUAAUUGGGCCAUCACGGCAGACAUCCUUAUGUACGUGGUCAUCCCCACGCGAAGGGCCACAGCCGUCGCCCUGCAGAGCUUCACCUCUCACCUGCUGGGGGACGCGGGGAGCCCCUACCUCAUCGGCUUUAUCUCGGACCUGAUCCGCCAGAGCACCAAGGACUCCCCACUCUGGGAGUUCCUGAGCCUGGGCUACGCCCUCAUGCUCUGCCCCUUCGUGGUGGUCCUGGGCGGCAUGUUCUUCCUGGCCACGGCCCUCUUCUUCCUGGGCGACCGCGCCAAGGCCGAGCAGCAGUCCCUGCCCUGCACGUCCGGCCAGCCGGCCCCCGAGAUGCGAUGCGCCAGAUCAGUGCCCGGGCCAGGCCGCCGCUGAUCCGCCACCUUGACCCCCGCCCGUCUCUCCCCCAGGGUGAACCAGAUGGUGAUGCCGCCCGCCUCCAUCAAAGUCUGAGGCCGUGCCUAUGGGCCGGCGAGGAACCCUCACUGUCCUACUCGGGAGGCAUCUCACGGCAUCCCAGCCCUGUGGGGCAGUCUCAAAGCCACUUGUGGGACCCGAGGCCAGGCACCCACCCUCUCUGGUCUGGGCCUGUGCAGUGGCCGUGGCUGCACCAGGUCGUGGCCUCGCCCUGCGUGGAAGGCUGUGUGUGUGGGAGCCACACAGUCAGACAGACACCCAGCCCCAGGGCCAGACUGCAGGGUGCCUGGCACCUAUGGCAAAGGCAGCCCCCAGUGGGUGUGUGGGGCACGCCCAGCCUGUCGCCACCUGAUGGGGCCCUGGGCAAGCCUCCAGCCUCCCCAGGCCGUGGGGCCGGACAGCUGGACUUUCCCACAUGGCAGCUCUGAAGACCUGCAGCUCCUGGACUGGAGGGGUCUGGGCCUCAGGUCCUGGCCUCUGACCCUGGGGUAGACUCAGCCCUACCGGGUUGUGCACCACUUCCCUCAGGACACUUGUCCCCGCGGAUGCUAGGCCGCUGUCUGGACUGGCUCUCCGCCUGCGGGGGAACUGACAUCACCAGGGGUGAAGGCCCUGGUGGCAACGCCCCCUCCCCCCCACCCCCAGUGGGGCCCUAACCAUGGCAGGGCCCAGGUGACUAUUCCCAGAAGCCGCAGGGCAGCUGCCGCCAGCAUCCUCAUGACCAGAGGAAGCAGCCACCCCACGAUGCUUCCUGUCCUGCCAAAGGCCAGGGGUCGAACCCGAGGUCAAGGCUAUGCUCCACAGGGCUGUGGUGCUCCCAUGCACUCCCCCGCCCCUCAGUGCCCUGCGCCCCCUCCCCCCACCGGCUGGAAUCAAGGUGGCUGGCAGGAGUCCAGGGCAGACCAGACACUCCCCACGGUUAGUGGCUGGCGCAGCUUCCAUGUGCACGCUGGCGGGACAUUUGCUCCUCUCUGAGCUCUGGGGCGCCUGCAAGGGGGACCCCACCCCGGCCUCCACUGGGGCCCCAGCAAUGUAUUCUUGUUGUACAAGAACCAGGUCCAGGUGUUGUCUCCUCUUCCUUCCGGAAGCCAAACUGCUCCUUUAUUUUUUAGAGCUGCUGAUUGUGAAUCUCAGAAUCUUAAGAGAGAAGCCAAAUAUAUUCCUCUUGUAAACGAA